UGAGUACGAGCUGCUACGGCAGCGAAGUGGGUGAUGUCAAGCUUCCAAGAAAAGCCCUAUACCCGUUAAGGCAUGACAGCCUGUACCCGAAACCGACACAGGUGGGGUGGUAGAGAAUACCGAGGGGCGCGAGAUAACUCUCUCUAAGGAACUCGGCAAAAUGGCCCCGUAAUUUCGGGAGAAGGGGUGCCACCGCAAGGUGGUCGCAGUGAAGAGGCCCAGGCGACUGUUUACCAAAAACACAGGUCUCCGCUAAGUCGCAAGACGAUGUAUGGGGGCUGACGCCUGCCCAGUGCCGGAAGGUUAAGGAAGCUGGUCAGCGCAAGCGAAGCUAGCGACUGAAGCCCCGGUGAACGGCGGCCGUAACUAUAACGGUCCUAAGGUAGCGAAAUUCCUUGUCGGGUAAGUUCCGACCCGCACGAAAGGCGUAACGAUCUGGGCGCUGUCUCGGAGAGAGGCUCGGCGAAAUAGAAUUGUCUGUGAAGAUGCGGACUACGUGCACCCGGACAGAAAGACCCUAUGAAGCUUUACUGUAGCUUGGUAUUGUGCCCGGGCUCUGAAUGCGCAGGAUAGGUGGGAGGCUUUGAUCCAUUGCUUGUGGGUAAUGGUGAGCCACUGGUGAGAUACCACUCUUUCAGAGCUAGGGUUCUAACGGUCACCCGUUAUCCGGGGACCGGACAGUAUCAGGUGGGCAGUUUGACUGGGGCGGUCGCCUCCUAAAAGGUAACGGAGGCGCGCAAAGGUUCCCUCAGGCUGGUUGGAAAUCAGCCGACGAGUGUAAAGGCAGAAGGGAGCUUGACUGUGAGACCUACAAGUCGAACAGGGACGAAAGUCGGCCUUAGUGAUCCGACGGUUCUGAGUGGAAGGGCCGUCGCUCAACGGAUAAAAGUUACUCUAGGAUAACAGGCUGAUCUCCCCCAAGAGUUCACAUCGACGGGGAGGUUUGGCACCUCGAUGUCGGCUCAUCGCAACCUGGGGCUGAAGUCGGUCCCAAGGGUUGGGCUGUUCGCCCAUUAAAGCGGUACGCGAGCUGGGUUCAGAACGUCGUAGACAGUUCGGUCCAUAUCCGGUGCACGCGCAGGAACAUUGAGAGGAUUUCUCCCUAGUACGAGAGGACCGGGAGGAACGCACCUCUGGUGUACCAGUUAUCGUGCCAACGGUAAACGCUGGGUAGCCAUGUGCGGAGCGGAUAACCGCUGAAAGCAUCUAAGUGGGAAGCCCACCUCAAGAUGAGUGUUCCCAUGGCAUAAGCCAGUAAGGUCACGGGAAGAACACCCGUUGAUAGGCUCUACGUGGAAGCGUGGCAACACGUGAAGCGGAGGAGUACUAAUAGACCGAGGGCUUG
rnacentral:rRNA from 1 species